rnacentral:rRNA from 1 species
ACGAACGCUGGCGGCGUGCUUAACACAUGCAAGUCGAACGGAAAGGCCCUGCUUUUGUGGGGUGCUCGCGUGGCGAACGGGUGAGUAACACGUGAGUAACCUGCCCUUGACUUUGGGAUAACUUCAGGAAACUGGGGCUAAUACCGGAUAGGAGCUCCUGCUGCAUGGUGGGGGUUGGAAAGUUUCGGCGGUUGGGGAUGGACUCGCGGCUUAUCAGCUUGUUGGUGGGGUAGUGGCUUACCAAGGCUUUGACGGGUAGCCGGCCUGAGAGGGUGACCGGCCACAUUGGGACUGAGAUACGGCCCAGACGCCUACGGGAGGCAGCAGUGGGGAAUAUUGCACAAUGGGCGGAAGCCUGAUGCAGCAACGCCGCGUGCGGGAUGACGGCCUUCGGGUUGUAAACCGCUUUCGCCUGUGACGAAGCGUGAGGGACGGUAAUGGGUAAAGAAGCACCGGCUAACUACGU